rnacentral:ncRNA from 1 species
GGGAGCCGUAUGACGCGAGAGUGUCACGUACGGUUCUGGGAGCGCGCCGGGGUGAAAUUCCCUGGCGCGACUCGCU